AUAAGAAUCACGUGAGGAUCUUGUUAAAGUACAGAUUCUGAUUCAGUAGGUGUGGAUGGGACCCAAGAGUCUGCAUUUCUAACAAGCUUCCAGGUCAUGAUGAU
rnacentral:pre_miRNA from 1 species